UACGUAGGGGGCAAGCGUUGUCCGGAUUUAUUGGGCGUAAAGAGCGUGUAGGCGGCCAAACAGGUCAGCUGUGAAAACUCGAGGCUCAACCUCGAGACGUCGGUUGAAACCGUUUGGCUAGAGUCCGGAAGAGGAGAGUGGAAUUCCCGGUGUAGCGGUGAAAUGCGCAGAUAUCGGGAAGAACACCCGUGGCGAAGGCGGCUCUCUGGGCAUUACCUGACGCUGAGGAGCGAAAGUGUGGGGAGCGAACAGG
rnacentral:rRNA from 1 species